AGAUUUUAAGAUAUGCAUCUGGAAAGGAUUACAUACUGAAGCAAGACCAAAGUGUGUGCCUCACUCAGGUUUAAGGCUAACAAUGGCACUAAUGAAACUGAAAUCACAAGGUGUAAUAAAAAAAGGUCUUUACUAGAAAAGACCGAAUGAACUCAGCUCGGAUGGAGUUUAAGAGUUGCCUCAUCUACCAUUUUACACUCAAAGCCAAAGGUGCUACCUUUUCCAUAUUUUACUUCUGGGUUUUUCACAUUUCACUUAUUUCUUCAAUUUUGGGGUGUUUGAGUAACAAAUAUUGCACAGAUUGAAAUUGGGGGUUUAGGGUUUUCAGUUCUGCUCAAGAUUUAUUGAUUUAUUCAAGAGUAAUUGCCCAAUCCAGCAUUAAGGAAUGGGGUAUGUGUUUCCAUCUAGUUGAUUGAUUUGAUAUUAUAAGAGAAAUUAUCACAUCAAAAUCAUCUUCCAGCACUUUUACUUGUUAGUAGAGUAAACUCAGCUCAGAUUACGUGGUAUAUGAAGUGAUUGGAAGCAAAGAUUAGAAAUUUUGGGGGAUUUUUCACUUCAAGUCUUGAAAUUGGACUCCGGGAGCUACUCAUUAGUCAUUUAUACACUCAAAGGGAUUUUGUUUCAUUGAAGAAAUUGGAGAUCGGGGUUUUGAAAAACAAAUUUUGGGGGUUUACCAAAAGUAUUGCUGCAGAAAUAUGUGGAUUCUCGAUCUGCAAUCUAGAAUUAUCUAAAAGACUCCUUUCAAGGUGUCCAGUUCUUGAAACUUUAUGUAUAUCUCAAUGUGCUUUAAAAACUGAUAAACAAAGGAAUAUGAUUGUUGAUUCUGUCAGCCUUAAGGAGUUUCUGUACCAUUUUUAUCGUUUGCCGCUAAAUGAUACUGUGACUAGCAUCAUCAAGUUAUGUGCUCCAAAUCUGAAAGACAUCGAUUGCAGAUCUUUUUUGACACAAGAUUUUUCUUUAGAAAACUCUUCUCCCCUCUCCGGGGUAAAUUUUAACAUGUUUCUCAAAGAAGAGAAGGGAGAAGGUGAGAAUGCAGAUGCAUAUUCCAAACUGCCUUCAGAGGAAAAAGAAACAUAUGCUAAACGUAUGAUGAAAUUUCUAGGAGCGGUGCAUAUGGUGAAUGAUAUGAUAUUAUCACCUGGAUUCCUUGAGGUGCUCUCACAAGCUCCUGACUUGUUAGAUUGUUAACCCCCUGUCUUAUGUAAUCUACAAUCUCUGGUGUUGGAAAUGUGGUGCACAAGAGGUUGCUUGCGGGCUAUAGCAUACUUACUCAGCAUUUCUCCUGAUAUAGAUACAAUUUACCUUGAUUCAAAGCAGUCUAAUUUAGCGGACGUUGGAGAUGACUGGGAAGCUGGACUGUCAUUGCCGGGAAUGUUGUCUCACCUCAAGUAUGUCCAGAUUGAAGAAGUUAUCUUAGACUUUCGUUCUUGUGUUGGCUCGCCUGAUAGACUGAUACAAAUUGAGCAAUUUAAGGAUAAGCUAAGAGCAGUUCCUACAGCUUCUUCAAGUAUCGAACUGGUGUUCAAUUAGUAGGUAACAUUAUGACCUUAUUCUAGAACUUGCAACAAAUUGUAGUCAGAUGAAAGGUUAUCAGAUGCAGACACUUCUAUACUCGGUCCCAAAGCAAGAAUAUACUGUGGGAACCUAAAUAUUGAUUUAUAUUUUAUUGUUUUUGAGUGAGAACUGAACACUGGCAAUACAAGAUUUCCCUUGCGGAGUCUAUUUUGGUGUUUGCUCCUUUUGUUUUUGCAGUAUGUAUGUUAUUUUGUAUGAAAAUAGUUAUCCAUAUGUCUAUUUGGUUAAACGGGUGUUUGGC